UCGGCGCCCAGUUCCACGCUGCUGUAGUUGUCCGGCACGAGGACGGCGGCCACCGCGCGGACCUGCGCGCCGUCCAGGGGCCCGUCCUGGGAGUGCACGCCCAGCAGUACCGACCACUCGGUCUCGGGCUCCAAGAUCUUCAGGUUCCUCCUGCGUGGGACCGGCAGCUGGGAGUUGGAGGGUAAAGCAAGGAAGGUACUGAACCCAGGAGUCCUGCUUUCCGGCUCCCCAGAUACUAGGACCCAGGCCAUCUUCUGUCCCCUGAAGUUACCGAGGAUCACAAGUGGAAGGAGCAGGUGCUGGGACAUGGCACAUUUGAGUCAGCUGGAGGCACGGAGGAAAGCUCUACACCCAACGUGCGGCUGGAACUCACAACCCUAAGAUCAAGAGUCGAAAUUCCUGGAGUUUCUAAGUCUCCCCGGACACUCAUUUGCAGGCAUUUGCCCCUCCAAUGAUGAAGACCCAGUCGUGUAUACAACACACACUCAGAAAAAGGAGGCAAUGGGCAAACAAAGGCGGGAAAGAAGAGAGAGGGUGUAGGUUGGUUAAACCAAAACAUGGUGCCACGAACACCCUCCCCUACCCCGUUUGCUGCAAUUCCGUAGUUCUCAAACAUUUCGGUUUCAGGACCUCCUUACGUUCUUAAAUAUUAUUGAGGGAUCCAAAGGGUUUUUGCUCUCGUGGGUUAUAUCUAUCAGUAUUUACUGCCUUGGAAAUGAAAACUCAGAGACACUUAAAAUUACUUAUUAAUUCGCUAAAAAAUUAGUCUGUUACAUGUUAAUGAGGGUAACAUAUUUUUUAUGAAAACGAUAUAAAAAAUAGUGAAAAGAAUGACAUUGUUUUGAAAGUGAAAAGAGCAGACGUUUUUGCAAACCUCCCUGCUGUCUGGAUGACUAGACUACAGCUGGAUUCUCAGAUCCGCUUUUGCAGCCAGCCUUCUGGAAUAUCCCUAGUCAAGUAGCCUUGGAAAGCUGUAUGGUACACUUGACAUCAUGAAAAUAGUUUUGGCCUUGGGCAGCCCUUGAAAGGGUUUUGGAAACCCUUUCAGGAGUUCCCAGGUGAGGGGCGUCUGGAUGGCUCAGUCGAAGCGGCUGCCUUCAGCUCAGGUCAGGAUUCCAGGGUCCUGGGAUGAGCCCCGCGAGAGUGGGUUGGGGUGUCUUUCCUCAGCGGGGAGUCUGCUUCUCUCUCUCCUUUUGCCUGCUGGUCCACCUGCUUGUUCUC